AAAGGCGCUUUCGGGUGUCGCUGAUGGAUGGACCCGCGGUGCAUUAGCUAGUUGGUGAGGUAACGGCUCACCAAGGCCACGAUGCAUAGCCGACCUGAGAGGGUGAUCGGCCACAUUGGGACUGAGACACGGCCCAAACUCCUACGGGAGGCAGCAGUAGGGAAUCUUCGGCAAUGGACGAAAGUCUGACCGAGCAACGCCGCGUGAGUGAAGAAGGUUUUCGGAUCGUAAAACUCUGUUGUUAGAGAAGAACAAGGAUGAGAGUAACUGUUCAUCCCUUGACGGUAUCUAACCAGAAAGCCACGGCUAACUACGUGCCAGCAGCCGCGGUAAUACGUAGGUGGCAAGCGUUGUCCGGAUUUAUUGGGCGUAAAGCGAGCGCAGGCGGUUUCUUAAGUCUGAUGUGAAAGCCCCCGGCUCAACCGGGGAGGGUCAUUGGAAACUGGGAGACUUGAGUGCAGAAGAGGAGAGUGGAAUUCCAUGUGUAGCGGUGAAAUGCGUAGAUAUAUGGAGGAACACCAGUGGCGAAGGCGGCUCUCUGGUCUGUAACUGACGCUGAGGCUCGAAAGCGUGGGGAGCAAACAGGAUUAGAUACCCUGGUAGUCCACGCCGUAAACGAUGAGUGCUAAGUGUUGGAGGGUUUCCGCCCUUCAGUGCUGCAGCUAACGCAUUAAGCACUCCGCCUGGGGAGUACGACCGCAAGGUUGAAACUCAAAGGAAUUGACGGGGGCCCGCACAAGCGGUGGAGCAUGUGGUUUAAUUCGAAGCAACGCGAAGAACCUUACCAGGUCUUGACAUCCUUUGACCACUCUAGAGAUAGAGCUUCCCCUUCGGGGGCAAAGUGACAGGUGGUGCAUGGUUGUCGUCAGCUCGUGUCGUGAGAUGUUGGGUUAAGUCCCGCAACGAGCGCAACCCUUAUUGUUAGUUGCCAUCAUUCAGUUGGGCACUCUAGCAAGACUGCCGGUGACAAACCGGAGGAAGGUGGGGAUGACGUCAAAUCAUCAUGCCCCUUAUGACCUGGGCUACACACGUGCUACAAUGGGAAGUACAACGAGUCGCGAAGUCGCGAGGCUAAGCUAAUCUCUUAAAGCUUCUCUCAGUUCGGAUUGCAGGCUGCAACUCGCCUGCAUGAAGCCGGAAUCGCUAGUAAUCGCGGAUCAGCACGCCGCGGUGAAUACGUUCCCGGGCCUUGUACACACCGCCCGUCACACCACGAGAGUUUGUAACACCCGAAGUCGGUGAGGUAACCUUUUGGAGCCAGCCGCCUAAGGUGGGAUAGAUGAUUGGGGUGAAGUCGUAACAAGGUAGCCGUAUCGGAAGGUGCGG
rnacentral:rRNA from 1 species